rnacentral:rRNA from 1 species
GAUGAACGCUGGCGGCGUGCUUAAUACAUGCAAGUCGAGCGAACAGACGAGGAGCUUGCUCCUCUGACGUUAGCGGCGGACGGGUGAGUAACACGUGGAUAACCUACCUAUAAGACUGGGAUAACUUCGGGAAACCGGAGCUAAUACCGGAUAAUAUAUUGAACCGCAUGGUUCAAUAGUGAAAGACGGUUUUGCUGUCACUUAUAGAUGGAUCUGCGCCGCAUUAGCUAGUUGGUAAGGUAACGGCUUACCAAGGCAACGAUGCGUAGCCGACCUGUGAGGGUGAUCGGCCACACUGGAACUGAGACACGGUCCAGAGUCCUACGGGAGGCAGCAGUAGGGAAUGUUCCGCAAUGGGCGAAAGCAUGACGGAGCAACGGCGCGUGAGUGAUGAAGGUCUUCGGAUCGUAAAACUCUGUUAUUAGGGAAGAACAAAUGUGUAAGUAACUAUGCACGUCUUGACGGUACCUAAUCAGAAAGCCACGGCUAACUACGUG